rnacentral:rRNA from 1 species
AGAAUCAACGCUGGCGGCGUGCCUAACACAUGCAAGUCGAACGAGAAAGUGGAGCAAUCCAUGAGUAAAGUGGCGACCGGGUGAGUAACACGUGACUAACCUACCCUUGAAUGGGGAAUAACCUUCCGAAAAGGAGGGCUAAUACCGCAUAAAGUCCUAAGGAUGAAACGCCUAGGGACCAAAGGAGUAAUUCGUUAAGGAGGGGGUCGCGGUUGAUUAGCUAGUUGGUGGGUAAUGGCCCACAAGGCGAUGAUCAAUA